rnacentral:rRNA from 1 species
GAUGAACGCUGGCGGCGUGCCUAAUACAUGCAAGUCGAGCGAAUGGAUUAAGAGCUUGCUCUUAUGAAGUUAGCGGCGGACGGGUGAGUAACACGUGGGUAACCUGCCCAUAAGACUGGGAUAACUCCGGGAAACCGGGGCUAAUACCGGAUAACAUUUUGAACCGCAUGGUUCGAAAUUGAAAGGCGGCUUCGGCUGUCACUUAUGGAUGGACCCGCGUCGCAUUAGCUAGUUGGUGAGGUAACGGCUCACCAAGGCAACGAUGCGUAGCCGACCUGAGAGGGGGAUCGGCCACACUGGGACUGGGACACGGCCCAGACUCCUACGGGAGGUAGCAGUAGGGAAUCUUCCGCAAUGGACGAAAGUCUGACGGAGGAACGCCGCGUGAGUGAUGAAGGCUUUCGGGUCGUAAAACUCUGUUGUUAGGGAAGAACAAGUGCUAGUUGAAUAAGCUGGCACCUUGACGGUACCUAACCAGAAAGCCACGGCUAACUACGUGCCAGCCGCCGCCGUAA